UACAGCGCAGAGGAUUAUAGAGGCGCAGCAGCUGGCGAUAGAGCAGCUGAGGACGAGACUGGAGGAGGUCACACUCCAACAGUAGUUUGGCUUGGAGAGGUUUCUCGCAUCAGAUGUUGACAUUAAACUCCAUACCAGGUUCGGCAGCUACCGCCAUCUUCAGGCAUUUUGGAGACAGAUUGAACCUGCAAUAGAGAGAAUUGAGCGUGUUGGUGAUACAUGUCCCUCCACUACUACUCCAAAAGUAGCUCUUAACAAUUCCACUGAUCUACCUCUUUGACCAGUAGGCAUUUUUGUUUGAUCAGCUUUCUGCUAAAUCGGCCCCUAAUAACGAUUUCAUGUGGUUUUGGAACAUACGUCAUUUUUUGAUGACUUAAUUGGAUAGCAGCCAUUGUACUGUAUAGCUCUAGCGAUAAAAUACAGACUUGUCCCCAACCAGAACCGAUGCCUUCCAAUGAUUGAUGAACUGUUCCUGUUCUUGAUGUACCUGUCACUGGGUCUGAAAGAGAGAGAUUUGGCUAAUCGUUUCAACAUUCAUCAGUCUACUGUCAGCAGGAUCAACCAAUCCUGGGUCAAUUUCUUGUACACCUUGCUCAGUGCUGUUGGGAUAUGGAUGUCUCCUGAGACAAUAGGAACAUCAAUGCCCAGUGUGUUUGGCAAGUACUCUGACACUCAAGUCAUUUUUGACUGUACAAAGAUAAGAUGUCAGAAGCCCUCAUCCUUACUCUUGAGUGACAUGUUUACCCACUAUAAAUCCCACACUACACUGAAAGGACUGAUAGGUGUGUCACCGCACGGCGCUGUCACGUUUGUUUCCUCGUUAUAUUCUGGCUGUAUCAGUGAUGAAGAAUUGUUCAGGCAAUCAGGCAUUAUCCCUCUUUUGGAUAAAGACAUGGCUGUAAUGGUAGACAAGGGAUUCGGAAUUGAUGAGCUAGUACCAUGCAAAGUUUACAGACCUCCUUUUCUGAGUAAAAAGUCACAAAUGUCUCAUGAAGAAGUGCUGGUCACUCAGGACUUGGCACGGUUAAGGAUACAUGUGGGGAGGACAAUUAGACAUAUCAAAGAGAACAAACUAUUUGACACCAUUAUUCCUCCAACCCUUUCUGGCAGUAUCAACAAGCUUUUUGCAGUAGCCUGCCUCCUAAGUAACUAUCAAAAUAAACCACUGGUUGAGGUGUGAGCACAGUAACGUGUGUGUUAAGUUUACACAGUCGGCCUCACUGGUUACUUCGACAAUGGUCGUUCAGUGCAAGACAUGAAAGCAAGAAUGGAGGCCAAAUUUAAAAUACGAGAUGAGAACACUGAAACCAUUCAUGAUUCACAAAUUGUAUAUCAACUGCUUUUUCUAACGACAGUCUGGAAAUAAAAGUUUGUCUUCUGA